rnacentral:rRNA from 1 species
AUUGAACGCUGGCGGAAUGCUUUACACAUGCAAGUCGAGCGGCAGCGCGGGGGCAACCCUGGCGGCGAGCGGCGAACGGGUGAGUAAUAUAUCGGAACGUACCCCGUCGUGGGGGAUAACACAGCGAAAGCUGUGCUAAUACCGCAUACGACCUGAGGGUGAAAGCGGGGGAUCGCAAGACCUCGCGCGAUGGGAGCGGCCGAUAUCGGAUUAGCUUGUUGGUGAGGUAAAGGCUCACCAAGGCGACGAUCCGUAGCUGGUCUGAGAGGACGACCAGCCACACUGGAACUGAGACACGGUCCAGACUCCUACGGGAGGCAGCAGUGGGGAAUUUUGGACAAUGGGGGGCAACCCUGAUCCAGCCAUUCCGCGUGAGUGAAGAAGGCCU